AUACUUCCGUUACUAUGAUUCCGACAGAGGUGCUUGUUUGUACACAUUUCUCAGCACACACACAUGUCGGCAGGACAAGAACCAAUUUGCAGAUUAUUUGCAGUUAUCAGCAUAAAUGAUGGGCCGGACAGGAAACACAGAAUACGUGAAGAACAGACAGAAUCUCACAAGAAGUGCAAAUUCGUAUCACAUCCUGGAUAUCGAGAUAGACAGCAAUAUCAACGCGUGUUCCAACAAUAUUUGUGAUGUAUCUCAUAAAGAAAUUCCCCUCUACAAAUAUACAGACAUUCCAGAUUUUCUCCAGGGAAAUCCUUACGUUAUUCACGGUUACAGGGUUAUGCUUCCGUUUAGUCUGUGUUUGAAAAGUAUAUUUGUGUGGAGCAAUGAAAGUAUUAACAUCUGGUCUCACUUGUUGGGCUUCCUGAUAUUUCUACUUCUGAUGGUUUAUGAUAAUUUGAUCAUUUUACCUAGAACUGGCAGUUCUUUUUCUGAUUAUUUUGUGGUAUCACUUGGAUUACUUUGCUACCAGGUGUGCAUGUUGUGUUCUGUUGGUUUCCAUAUGUUUUGCUGUCACUCUGAGCGUGCCAGUCGUCGAUGGUUAGCUGUGGAUCUGACCGGGAUUUCUCUCGGGGUCAUAGGCUGUUACUUGCCAGCUGUUCAUUAUGCAUUUUAUUGUUUGUCAGUUUGGAGAGACGUGUAUUUUUUUAUCAUCACAAUACUCACAGUCAGUACAAUUGUGAUACAGCUCCACCGAAAGUUCUUCUCUCAUGGCUGGUUCAGAUACAGAAUACUGAUCUAUGUGUUCCUAGCAGGCUAUGGCGUUUUACCAACCAUUCACUGGGUUUACCUUAAUGGAGGACCGCAGGCGGAAAUAGUACAGGUAGGCUGGCUGCAUGCUUUGCAAUGUGAAUAAGUAGUGAAAAACUGCAAAUGCAAACCCUUAAUAGGUGUUGAUACCUAAGAAAGUUGCCAAGAUACCAAGGUAGCAGACUUUGAAUCUACAUGUAUAUGUGUUAUGCAAUUUCAUAAGAUACUGAUUUGGUGAUAAUCAUAUCUUUUAAAACAUCAAUAUAGUUUUACAUUCUAUUCCUUUACUAGAAAAUCCAAAAGGAACUGCAUUUCCUGCUAGUUUAGACUUCUGAUCUUGGUCAGAAGUGUCUAAAAUUUUAGUACCGUAUAUAAAAUACUGUUAAUUCCUUAUAUUAUGCGAGUACUUAAUUCCGCGAUCCCGGUGUUUUGUAUCAAAUCGCGAGAAUAAAAAAUCGCGAAAGCGGAACUUUUUUCCUUAUUUCUCAUAGUUCUCAACUCUCAAAGAAUAAUGGCGAGAUUUAAAAAUCCGCGAUGGUUGCUCCUCGCGAUUUUACGAGGACAUUAAUUCCUGGCGUUUAAUUAGGAAUCUACAGUAUACAUGUUUCAAAUGAUGAUCUUUAUUUUCAUAAAUGGUUUACUCCCUUUUUAAUUUAAAGUAAAUGUAUAAGAUUUUCUAGUGUUUUACCAGCAGAUUUUAAUCAUGACUGAAUUGCCUGGUUCAUGUUCUAUGAUUGUUCUUUUCAUUCUCUCACAGAAGUUUUGUGUUUCACCGUAGCCUGGCUUUCCAAUACUCGGCCUACAUUUUAUAUGCAUUGGGUCUUUUAUACUAUAAUGUAUACCGGUACAUAUUGUAUCACCACUGUCCACAAUGUAUAAAAAGCAGUAUUUCAUUAAGAUCUUGUUUUGAUCUUUUCAGCUUUUCAUUCCAAAAGUAAUGACCAUAUAUUGUGCAGGAGUUUUAGCCUUGGUGUUUUAUUUAAGCAAAUUUCCAGAGAGAUUUCUACCUGGUAAGAAUGUGAAUUGUCAACCAAUACAGAUUACUAUUGAACUCAAUGCUUGUAGAUUGCUGUAUUGUGAAUUGAGAUAUUAUUCUUUUCAGGUUCAUUUGAUUACAUUGGUUCUAGUCAUCAGUGGUGGCACAUCAUUGUGGUGGCAGCAUUCAUUUACUGGCAUUUUGCGGGUCAAGAAAUCUUACUCUAUCGACAAAGUCACCAGUGUCACAUCUAAUUGUUUUGUUACCAAGAUACUUUGUUAAUGAAUGUAAUAAUAAUAAAUUAUUUUAAAA
rnacentral:misc_RNA from 1 species